GCAGCUCAGUGGUAGAGCAUGUGCUUUGCAAGCAGAACGUCCCGGGUUCAAUCCCUGGCAUCUUCA